UAUAACUGUAUUAACCGUAUACAUGUAUAAUAACAGUAUAGUACAGAUAAAACGUUGAACCACGUGAUCACGUGUGAUACGUAAACGUGCCAUCGACGUCACGUGCUAAUGUAUGUAUACAGCACGUGUAAGAUAUUUUGAGUUCGCUUAACCACAGUCAGCUGUUUAUGUCAGAAAAGUGACAGCUGUGGAAACCAGCAGCCGAACAACUCGUUGGGUAAGAGAGAAAUUAUCUUAUUGGAUCUAGAAAAGAUGAGAUACAAGUCGGUAGAGCGAAAAUAACCGAGGGUAACGACGGCUGGCAACUAUAUAGGUAUAUUUUAUGCGCGCAAACAUCACCCGACGGUCUGUAAAGAGAGAGAACGUGCCUGAAUUGUACGGAAAGAACCAGAACAUUCUAGAACGUUUACCGCUUGCAGAUUCGCAACGACCGAAGUUGCGUGUGGCGUGCGUUGGAUAAGAGGUUUUCAGAAGCAAAAAAAUUGUGACAUUGAAGUUUGGAUGGAGAAGAAGAUUCCAGAGGUUUUCCGUGUCGCCGAAAAGCUUUAUGCACGUCAGGCUACAAGUCACUUGAUGGUCAGUUCCAAGUUCAUUGCUCUAUUUUAUUUUUCUUCUUUUUCUUUCUCCCUUUACUAUUUACAGAUGUAAGCCAGCGAGUUAGGAUGCAGAAAGAGUGGCUAUAAAUAGCUAUCCGAGUCGAUGCCACUUUAAGGCUGUAUAGAAAGUCAGUGUCGAAUGUUCUCGAAUGAUUCUCAGGUGUCUAUAAAUAAAUAAGGUUUCUGAGGCUAAACUGCCUUUGAAUCGGCUUUACAGAAUUAGGAACAAUAAUUCGGCGGCGCGGCGUUUGCCUGCUCCCUUCUGCCAAUCGGCAAAAUCUUAAUUCGAAAUUAUUCGUUCGUAUUUUCCUGAGCGCUUCCGUGACGGAUCCGCGACCACGAGAUCCUUUUAUUACACAUCCCCCUCCAAGGGCCUGCAUACAGAGGCCGAGGAAAACCAGGAUGGACAGGGCUUGGUAAACCGGUAUAAAACUUAUCCGAGGGAUCUUGCAAGGCAAAGGGCGGAUACAUACGGACGAGCGAUCGCAACUGCAAAUGUGGCGAAUGGUCGUGAUUUUCCAGCAUCUUUCUAAACUCGAAAUUAGUGCUUACAAUGGUUCGUGAGAUUUUCCGUUCAUUCGCAGUAAUCAAAAAAGUUAUUCAACAUAUUCACCUAAUGUUUGCAGUUUUUCUCUACGAUACGACCGUGGCGGCGAGUUUAUCAUUUAGAAAAUCUAUAAAACAAAGGAAAAGUUUUUAUCGUACAUACUAUGUACAAUUUACAUGGAAAUGAGCGAAGGUUGGCAAAAUCAAGGAGAGUCCUUCACGCAACGGAGCAUGUAGAUUACAAAUUGACCUAGAAUCGCGAUUCAAACGUAUGAACACCCGUACUCAUGAAUUUGCGUGGCCCGGGCUGUAACGAAGUUCGUUAAAAAUCCAGUGCAAACCUGAUCCCUCAGAUUGCGAGUUGCAAUUCCGGUGUUAUGCGCGUCAAGCUCCGCAUUUUAUUCCCGUCUUUUAUACCAUCGCGAGACGACUUUUUGUAUUUUAGAGUUUUAAUGCGCAGCAAUAUUACAGGUUGCAAAGAUUGGCGAUAAAUAAGUAGGAUCACUAAAUAUAAUUGAAAGUGAUUAACAGUUUAAAUACACACGCGCACACACACACACACACACACAUAUAUAUAUAUUAGGGGUGCGCGGGUACUGAAAUUCUUCGGGUCCGGUAGGGCCGGGUAAAAUGGAUUACUUUCGGGUCGAGUACCCGAAAAACUCGUAUUACUAAAAUUCCCGAGUUCCUCGAAAAUGUUGGGUUUGCCGAAAAUUGCGGAGUUUUCGAAAAUUUUGCUCGUGGCUGUUUUCGCUUCUCCAAAAAUAACGGGACUUCUAAAGUGAACAGAAAUUUUCGAUAAUUGCGGCCUACCCGAAAUUUUUGGACUACCCGAAGUUUUCGGACUACCCGAAGAUUUCAGGUUUGCCAAGAAACCCGACCCGAUGCAAAUCCGAUCCGUACCCGAAAGUACUUGAAAUCUUCAGGUAGUCCGAAAACUUCGCGUAGUCCAAAAAUUCCGGGUAGGCCGAAAUUAUCGAAAAUUUCUAUAUAUGUAUAUACGCAGGUACAAUAUAAUCUGCGCGAAGGUACUUUCAAAGUUGACGAAGGUUAACGCGGUGAGGUUUUACAGUCCUUGUAAAUAAUGUAUUCUUAUCGUUCUUAUUUCAAAUAGACUCGAUAUUUCCCCGCCCUGCAAUCUCUGUUUGCCUUUCUGCCUGCUACCAAGCUGCUGCGCAGGUUCUCCUCUUUCAAUUUAACUUCCUGCCCGGUAAAGUGUCAAGGCUACGUAUAUAGAGAUAGAGAGACCGUAAAUAACACAUAUGACGUGAGUGGUAGGAGGGUAAAGCAUUCAACCCCUCCUCACCUCCUGCCGCGAUUCGUUAGGUAUCGAAACAUCGUUCAUCCAAGUAUAAGAUUCCAUCUGUCAUACGUUUAAAACGUCAAAAAACGGAACUGUUUUUAAUGCUUUACAUGAAAGGAUAAUCGUUACAUUCCUGUAU